GGCGAACGGGUGAGUAACACGUGAGCAACCUGCCCUAGGCUUUGGGAUAACCCCGGGAAACCGGGGCUAAUACCGAAUAUGACUUCUGGUCGCAUGACCGGUGGUGGAAAGUUUUUCGGCCUGGGAUGGGCUCGCGGCCUAUCAGCUUGUUGGUGGGGUGAUGGCCUACCAAGGCGACGACGGGUAGCCGGCCUGAGAGGGCGACCGGCCACACUGGGACUGAGACACGGCCCAGACUCCUACGGGAGGCAGCAGUGGGGAAUAUUGCACAAUGGGCGGAAGCCUGAUGCAGCGACGCCGCGUGAGGGAUGACGGCCUUCGGGUUGUAAACCUCUUUCAGCAGGGACGAAGCGUAAGUGACGGUACCUGCAGAAGAAGCGCCGGCCAACUACGUGCCAGCAGCCGCGGUAAGACGUAGGGCGCGAGCGUUGUCCGGAUUUAUUGGGCGUAAAGAGCUCGUAGGCGGCUUGUCGCGUCGACUGUGAAAACCCGCAGCUCAACUGCGGGCCUGCAGUCGAUACGGGCAGGCUAGAGUUCGGUAGGGGAGACUGGAAUUCCUGGUGUAGCGGUGAAAUGCGCAGAUAUCAGGAGGAACACCGGUGGCGAAGGCGGGUCUCUGGGCCGAUACUGACGCUGAGGAGCGAAAGCGUGGGGAGCGAACAGGAUUAGAUACCCUGGUA
rnacentral:rRNA from 1 species